rnacentral:rRNA from 1 species
AGGGCUGCAGUAAUUUGACUGUACAAAGGUAGCAUAAUCAUUAGUCAUUUAAUUGAUGACUUGUAUGAAAGAUUGGAUGAGAUAUAAGCUGUCUCUUAAUUAAUUUUAGAAUUUAAUUUUUUAAUUAAAAAGUUAAAAUAUAAUAAAAAGACGAGAAGACCCUAUAGAGUUUUAUAAUUUAAUUAAUUGAGAUUAUUUAAUUAAGAAAAUUAAAAUUAAUUUAAUUAUUUUGUUGGGGUGACAGAAAAAUGAAUAUAACUUUUUUUAAAAGAAAACAUAUAUAAGUGAUUGUUUGAUCCAGUAAUAUUGAUUAUAAGAAAAAAUUACCUUAGGGAUAACAGCGUAAUUUUUUUUUUUAGUUCGUAUAAAAAAAAGAGUUUGCGACCUCGAUGUUGGAUUAAGAUAAAAUUUAAAUGCAGAAG